GUAGCAAGGGGGGAUUUGGGGAGUCUUAUUUCCUUAUAACUAUGCUCCCAUCCACAGAGCGCCCGCUUCGAUCAAGUUGAUAUACCAAAAUUCAGCCAGGAUAGGGAAGACGAGGCAGACUAACCAACAAUUUGGGCCUCAUAUAUUAUUGCCAGAUGUAAUAAUAAUUCCUGUUGGCUUAUUAAAAAAAAAAAUCAAAAUGAAUAGAUUUAAAUAUCCAGCCAUGUUAACACAUGAUGUCGUGGUUGGAACACAUCAGAGAGAAGACCAUCCCUGCAGGAGUUGGGUGAUAUCCGACUUAAAUUAGUGGAUGCAUUUUUACAGCAACCUUGACAUGACUGGAGAACUCAGUGGACCACAUGCACUUCAGGAGAAAAUCAAGGCAGACUGUUUUUCUCUCUCAAAGACUUUGAAGAACGGAAAUCGCAGUGGAUCACGCCCUCUAGAUUUGUUUUCUACCAAACUUCAGUUCCGGACUCAUCAUAUCUGCAUCUCAACUGGAGCAAAGUUUUCAACGUGUGAUCUAAUUUAUGACCGGGAUUUCUUCAGUCUACAGCCGCUCUCUGUCCAUGAGGGAUGGCGCAUGACAAGGGCUUCUGCAACAAACACAUGGAUUACAUUUACUACACUCUCCUCCAGACCAUCAAUAAGGCAAGACCCGUGGAAAUCCAACAAGGACAAAUAAUACAAAGAUAAAAAUACCUCUCUACCACCCCAAGAUGAAGCCAGACUGAUACUGUGCUGAUGUUCAUUAGCUCACUGUAAAAUAAACUGUGGCGUGCCACAGGCAAGUGUGCUUGGGCUUCUGUUAUUCCUGCUGUACAUUAAAGAUAUCAAGGAUGCUUGCUCAAUGUCACCCGUGUCUUUAUGCAGAUGACUCUACACUCCUGGUGUUUCACAUAAACCAAACCACUCUGGAGAGUAUACUGAGUGCAGAGCUCACUAACAUCAACAAGCUGUCGCCGCACCUCGGCAAAACAGAAGGAAUUCUGUUUGGGUCCAAAAUGAAACUAAGCGAGUCCUCAGACAUCAGGGUACAGCUAGCAGAACAGGUACUCACAGCCAGAACAGCAGUUCAUUACUUAGGAUGUACACUAGAUGGCAACCUGGCAGGGGAGGAGUAUGGCUACUAAGGUACUAGGUAAAGUGCUAGUGUAAAGGACAUCAUGCUGCUUUACACUGCUAGAGUAAGGGACAUCACGCUGCUUGCUUAGUGUCGCGAGUGCCACUUCCUCCUGAUUCGGCUCACACCGAGGCUUGAACCUUACCAGUCGGCGACACGGAAAACCUAGCUAUUCGUUGGUGCAAGUGGGGAAUCUUCAGGCUGAGGAAUAUGUGCUACACCAGGACCAAAUUCUUGGCUAUGUAGUCUAAGCUGUUGGAAAAAGAUUCAAAGAAAGUGCUAGUGUGCUCAUCCAAUGUCCUUUUUGAUGCUAGCACCUCCUGGUUUGAAGGCUUAAUAAUCUACUAAAAAGCAAGCUCAGGAUAGCCCAGAACAAGUUGAAUCUGAGCCCACCUACAGUACUCAUAUUGGUACCAGACAGUUUCAGGAGCUCAACUGGCUGCCCUCUAAGUCAAGGGUCACACAGACCAGGUUCAUAGGAUCAGAGGACUCAGUAAAACACUUGCUGUUAGGAAACUAUCAAAUUAUAGUACUUUUGUUUUUAGGUCUGUGCCGGUCCAGUUUUGUUUUGGUCGGUUUGUUUUUAUUUAUUUAUGAAGCAGCUCCUAGGCAUUUUGUCUCACUUCCUUCCCCAUUUUAGAGACUCAUACAAACACAACAAUAGAGCUAGCUAACGUGUUGUGUGUAAAAGCCUGGCAGGGAAAGGUACUUUUUUUAUAUUCAGGAGCCUCUGAGUGGAAAAGUCUGCCUCUGGUCUGUUAAAACUAUUCCUACUCUGAGUAGCUUAAAAAGGAAGGUGAAAUGCUGGUUAAUGGAUAGGGUGCCUCUGUGAGCAAUCCAUCCUAGCCCAAUGAUGAUGUCCAAGUAGCCUUCUUUUGUCUAUAGUGUGUGUAUGUUGUUGUGCUCUCAUAUGACUAAGUAACCAUAUUGACCUGCCAUUUUAGCUUCUGUUUUUUUAUUUAGCCACAUAUGCCAUAUUUGACAAAUGCUAUCUUGAAGGAGGACCACAAUUGAAAUAGGUUGUAGACUUUUUUGUGUUUAUCUUCAACGAUUCUUAAUCAUGUGCAUCAAUUUGAACAUGUACUUUGUUUUUAAAUAUCCAAUUUAAAUAAUAAUAAAAAAGAACAGCAAUGCCUCAAGAUUAGCAUUGAAUGUAACUUAUGAAUAUUAUGAUUUUUAAAAGGAAUGUAUGUAAUAUCAAGAUGUAUCGUUGAUAUUACAUAUAUUUGAUUUAAAUCAUGUCCCUUGCAUUUAAAGUCAGUGUUUGUGUUUUUCACCAAGCGAUGAGCCAGCCCCAGUAGUGUGGAAAUAAAGAUAUCUAUGUUGA